CUUCAACGACCCGAGCCAAAGGGGCUGUUCGGACGAGCGGUCCUUGCCGUAGGUGUCCAGCAGCGCCUGGGCCUC
rnacentral:antisense_RNA from 1 species